rnacentral:rRNA from 1 species
GUAGUCCACGCCCUAAACGAUGUCUACUAGUUGUCGGGUUUUAAUUAACUUGGUAACGCAGCUAACGCGUGAAGUAGACCGCCUGGGGAGUACGGUCGCAAGAUUAAAACUCAAAGGAAUUGACGGGGACCCGCACAAGCGGUGGAUGAUGUGGAUUAAUUCGAUGCAACGCGAAAAACCUUACCUACCCUUGACAUGUACGGAAGCCACGAGAGAUCGAGGUGUGCUCGAAAGAGAGCCGUAACACAGGUGCUGCAUGGCUGUCGUCAGCUCGUGUCGUGAGAUGUUGGGUUAAGUCCCGCAACGAGCGCAACCCUUGUCAUUAGUUGCUACGAAAGAGCACUCUAAUGAGACUGCCGGUGACAAACCGGA